rnacentral:lncRNA from 1 species
UGGUGGUUAGUGCUGUGAUGAAGUGGGAAUUAACUUGACACUAGUGUUUGAGUCACUUGAGCGAGUAUUGUUCGGAGGUACUCCUUUACUGAGAUUUAUUUCUGGAUCUAGAAUCAUCAAGUUUGGAAUUUUGUUAGGAUUGCUUUUAUCAAAAGUGGCAUAGAUGCUGGUUUCGAUCGUAUACUAGCUAGUAGAAGUAAAGACUUUUAGUGUUGAU